rnacentral:lncRNA from 1 species
AUAUUUAACCAUAUAUGUUUACAUAUUAAGAUUAAUUUUAUAAAAGACAAAAGAUAAAAAUAAAUAAAUAAAUAAAUAAAAAAGAACUUCUAGAAACAAUUUGAAUAGUAUGAAAAAUAUAUUUUUUAAGAAAUAUUUUUAUGAAGAAAUAUCCUCCAAAAUAUUAGGUAAAAAGAUGGGAGAAAUUUAAAGACCCGGUUCAAGUUGAAUCGGUGUUUAAUUAGACACUCGUUCUCAAAGCCUUAUAUAUGUUAGGAGUGGAUGCUUGUAUACGUAUGAGUAAAACCUAAAUAGUCGAAUUCCCGAAUCGGUUUCACGGAGCAGAAAGCUCAAACGCCACCAAGCCUCCCUCUUCUUUCUCAAUUCUCCUUGCUCAGGCUUUCAUCAGCCUCCUCCUUAUUUAUUUAUUUAUCUAUCUAAAAUAAAAGACUCCUAUGUCAGAUUAUUACAUAAACAUAUUUUCACAUUUUCCAUCCAUACAAAUUGGUCUGCACGUCAGAAGCACAAGUAAAACUGAACUCCGACCAAUUAAAAUAUUAGAUUUUACCAUAUGAAGCUAAAACAUAAAUAUAAAUAAAUAUAAUUACUAAAAUUGAAAUUUAAAAAUAUACGAAAUUUAUAUAACACUUAAAGAAACCUAAAAUAAAAAUUGUAAAACACUUCUAAAAAAAUACUAUUACAUUCUCUAAAAUUAUUUUAAAUUCUAUAAAAACUUGUAAAAGAUAAUGAAAGAAAAUCCAAUCACAAAAACAAUAAAUGGCAAAGAAAUUUUCUUUUUAUAUUCAGCAGUAAUUGACUAUUUAUACAUCAUAAUAUAUACAAAAGAUCAAAUCCCUCGAGACUAAACAUGCUUCUUUCUUUUAGUAUUACAAGAUAAUUGAGAUUGACUGGUAAUGAAACAAAAUAAAAGGUUAAAAAAAGUUCUACUAAUUUAUCAACACCAAUACAAGCAACAAAAUCAAAUAUAAAAAGUAAUUUACAAUAGGAUUCAGGGCUUGCUCUGGCUGCUGCUACUCUCCUUGGGUGGCUUCACAAUUAGGAUGGGACAUUUUGCAUGAUGUGCACAGUAAUCACUCACGCUCCCCAGAAAUGCCCUGCAAUCACACAUUUAUAUUAUCACCCUUGAUUGUUACUAUUUGUUCUCCAUCACGUGGUGAUAUGAUAUCCUUCU